GAUGAACGCUAGCUACAGGCUUAACACAUGCAAGUCGAGGGGAAACGAUAGAGAAAGCUUGCUUUUUCUAGGCGUCGACCGGCGCACGGGUGAGUAACGCGUAUCCAACCUGCCCAUCACUUGGGGAUAACCUUGCGAAAGUAAGACUAAUACCCAAUGACGUCUCUAGAAGACAUCUGAACGAGAUUAAAGAUUUAUCGGUGAUGGAUGGGGAUGAGUCUGAUGAGCUUGUUGGCGGGGUAACGGCCCACCAAGGCGACGAUCAGUAGGGGUUCUGAGAGGAAGGUCCACCACAUUGGAACUGAGACACGGUCCAAACUCCUACGGGAGGCAGCAGUGAGGAAUAUUGGGCAAUGGGCGAGAGCCUGAACCAGCCAAGUAGCGUGCAGGAUGACGGCCCUAUGGGUUGUAAACUGCUUUUAUAAGGGAAUAAAGUGAGUCUCGUGAGACUUUUUGCAUGUACCUUAUGAAUAAGGACCGGCUAAUUCCGUGCCAGCCGCCGCGGUAA
rnacentral:rRNA from 1 species